CUUGCAACAUUUUGUUUAUUUUUUUUUUUUUUUAAUUUCUCAUUCAACAGUUUUUUUUUCUAUGAGUAUAGUAAAGCAAUAUAAAACUUAUCUGAACAUAAAAUUCUCUAAUAUUCACACCAAAAAGAAAAACAUUUAUAUAAAUGCUAAAUAUUUAGCAUUACUGAAGACAUACUUUAUAGUCUUUAUAUUAGAUUUUCAAUAUUUAACAUUCUAAUCAGGUUUUGUCAACAAAAGCAAUAAAUACUUGGACAAGGUUUCUGGCCUUUAAAAAACAUAAGUACAGCUUUGCAAUAUGGUACAAUGAGAACCAAUAAAUAUUUGGAAAAGGUUUCUGGCCUUCAAAAAACAUAAGUAUAGCUUUGCAAUGAAAUUUUUAAACAAUUUGAAUUACUAAUGACUUGAAGGUGAGACUUUUUUUUCUUGACAUUCUCAAUACAUAGUGUGAUGACAGUCUCAAUGAUUAACAGAAUUCGUGCAUCAACGCUAGGUAAAAUUGAGAGGCAGUAGGCAUGGAUACCGGUAUAUAUUUCAACUUACAAGUGAAUAGUUAAUGUUGACUAUAUAAAGAUGCAAAGAAGGUAACAGGACAACUAUUGAUGUUUGAGAAUUAUUUGUUUUUAAAGUAUGGUACGAAUACACUUAGCAAGUGUGGCUCUGACAAUGAGAGCAGACAAAUUAAGAAAAUAUGUUGAGAUUUUACUAUAAAUGUCGAACUUAGUAAAAAAAAUAUGCAAAGACCC